rnacentral:rRNA from 1 species
UGGGGAAUUUUGGACAAUGGGCGCAAGCCUGAUCCAGCAAUGCCGCGUGCAGGAUGAAGGCCUUCGGGUUGUAAACUGCUUUUGUACGGAGCGAAAAGGUCUGCCCUAAUACGGUGGGCUCAUGACGGUACCGUAAUAAUAAGCACCGGCUAACUACGUGCCAGCAGCCGCGGUAAUACGUAGGGUGCGAGCGUUAAUCGGAAUUACUGGGCGUAAAGCGUGCGCAGGCGGUUAUAUAAGACAGAGGUGAAAUCCCCGGGCUCAACCUGGGACCUGCAUUUGUGACUGUAUAGCUAGAGUACGGUAGAGGGGGAUGGAAUUCCGCGUGUAGCAGUGAAAUGCGUAGAUAUGCGGAGGAACACCGAUGGCGAAGGCAAUCCCCUGGACCUGUACUGACGCUCAUGCACGAAAGCGUGGGGAGCAAACA